GAUGAACGCUGGCGGCGUGCCUAAUACAUGCAAGUCGAGCGAAUGGAUUAAGAGCUUGCUCUUAUGAAGUUAGCGGCGGACGGGUGAGUAACACGUGGGUAACCUGCCCAUAAGACUGGGAUAACUCCGGGAAACCGGGGCUAAUACCGGAUAACAUUUUGAACCGCAUGGUUCGAAAUUGAAAGGCGGCUUCGGCUGUCACUUAUGGAUGGACCCGGGUCGCAUUAGCUAGUUGGUGAGGUAACGGCUCACCAAGGCAACGAUGCGUAGCCGACCUGAGAGGGUGAUCGGCCACACUGGGACUGAGACACGGCCCAGACUCCUACGGGAGGCAGCAGUAGGGAAUCUUCCGCAAUGGGCGAAAGUCUGACGGAGCAACGCCGCGUGAGUGAUGAAGGCUUUCGGGUCGUAAAACUCUGUUGUUAGGGAAGAACAAGUGCUGGUUGAAUAAGCUGGCACCUUGACGGUACCUAACCAGAAAGCCACGGCUAACUACGUGCCAGCCGCCGCAGUAA
rnacentral:rRNA from 1 species